rnacentral:tRNA from 1 species
UGGAGGGUGGCUCAGGGCUAGAGCAUGUGCUUUGCAUGCACAAGGCCCUAGAUUCAAUCCCCAGCACCACAG